rnacentral:rRNA from 1 species
GAUGAACGCUGGCGGCGUGCCUAAUACAUGCAAGUCGAGCGAAUGGAUUAAGAGCUUGCUCUUAUGAAGUUAGCGGCGGACGGGUGAGUAACACGUGGGUAACCUGCCCAUAAGACUGGGAUAACUCCGGGAAACCGGGGCUAAUACCGGAUAAUAUUUUGAACUGCAUGGUUCAAAAUUGAAAGGCGGCUUCGGCUGUCACUUAUGGAUGGACCCGCGUCGCAUUAGCUAGUUGGUGAGGUAACGGCUCACCAAGGCAACGAUGCGUAGCCGACCUGGGAGGGUGAUCGGCCACACAGGGACUGAGACACGGCCCAGACUCUUACGGGAGGCAGCAGUAGGGAAUCUUCCGCAAUGGACGAAAGUCUGACGGAGCAACGCCGCGUGAGUGAUGAAGGCUUUCGGGUCGUAAAACUCUGUUGUUAGGGAAGAACAAGUGCUAGUUGAAUAAGCUGGCACCUUGACGGUACCUAACCAGAAAGCCACGGCUAACUACGUGCCAGCCGCCGCAGUAA